rnacentral:lncRNA from 1 species
AAUCAACGGCGCAACGGCGGUGCUGAACCGGGAGCACGCAACUUCUGCUAUUGGACGGAGUAAUUAAAUCUGGCACAAAAAGCUGCAUUUGGCGGCAUAGGAUUAUUACUAUAAUGCUGCACCAGUACAUCUCUAAUGUUUUUUGUUCAUAUUGUGCGAACACAACCUGCUCGACCACCGCGGUAGGUCGUCCUCGUGGUCAUCGUCGUUCUUGUCCUGGUCAUCGUCGUUCUUGUCCUGGUCAUCGUCGUUCUUGUCCUGGUCAUCGUCGUUCUUGUUCUGGUCAUCGUCGUUCUUGUCCUGGUCAUCGUCGUUCUUGUCCUGGUCAUCGUCGUUCUCGUCCUGAUCCUCGUCGUCCUCGUCCUGAUCAUCGUCGUCCUUAUUCUGUUUUUCGUCGUCUUCGUCGUUCUCGUCGUCCUUCAGAUUUUCUGUUUUGUUUCUGGAAGCUUAUUCAAGAACUCUGCUCCUGUGUAGGAGUACACUCUCUCCUUCGAGGAAAUUCCCUAAUUUCAAAUCGUGCUGGGAAGAGGAGAGCAUCUAUGGCGGGGAGCCAGGGGUAGCUGGCGCCCAUUCAGUUAUAAUAAUAACUAAUGAGUUUGUGGGUGGAUAUAUGUAUGAAUAUAUAAUUUUUAGAUAUUUAGUUUUCUAAAAAAUUUUAAAUUUUUUAUGUAUAUGAUGAUGCAUGUGUAAACUAUUUACAUGGAAAAAUGAUUUAUAUUUUAGAAAAACUAAUCAAAGAUAUUUAAUAUAGCAUCUGAACUUCUAGCACUAAUUUCUUCUUCGAUUUACAAAAAUAUCAGACAAUUUUAGUUUGAAAUUAACACAAUAAAAUGAGUUGUAAAAUCAGUUAUUAAUUAUAAUUUAAAAGAGGAUCCUAUUAAAAAUUCUAUC